rnacentral:rRNA from 1 species
AACGCUAGCUACAGGCUUAACACAUGCAAGUCGAGGGGCAGCAUGAACUUAGCUUGCUAAGUUUGAUGGCGACCGGCGCACGGGUGAGUAACACGUAUCCAACCUGCCGAUGACUCGGGGAUAGCCUUUCGAAAGAAAGAUUAAUACCCGAUGGCAUAGUUCUUCCGCAUGGUAGAACUAUUAAAGAAUUUCGGUCAUCGAUGGGGAUGCGUUCCAUUAGGUUGUUGGCGGGGUAACGGCCCACCAAGCCUUCGAUGGAUAGGGGUUCUGAGAGGAAGGUCCCCCACAUUGGAACUGAGACACGGUCCAAACUCCUACGGGAGGCAGCAGUGAGGAAUAUUGGUCAAUGGACGAGAGUCUGAACCAGCCAAGUAGCGUGAAGGAUGACUGCCCUAUGGGUUGUAAACUUCUUUUAUACGGGAAUAAAGUGAGGCACGUGUGCCUUUUUGUAUGUACCGUAUGAAUAAGGAUCGGCUAACUCCGUGCCAGCAGCCGCGGUAAUACGGGGGAUCCGAGCGUUAUCCGGAUUUAUUGGGUUUAAAGGGAGCGUAGGCGGACGCUUAAGUCAGUUGUGAAAGUUUGCGGCUCAACCGUAAAAUUGCAGUUGAUACUGGGUGUCUUGAGUACAGUAGAGGCAGGCGGAAUUCGUGGUGUAGCGGUGAAAUGCUUAGAUAUCACGAAGAACUCCGAUUG